rnacentral:rRNA from 1 species
UACAUAGGUGGCAAGCGUUAUCCGGAUUUAUUGGGCGUAAAGGGAACGCAGGCGGUCUUUUAAGUCUGAUGUGAAAGCCUUCGGCUUAACCGGAGUAGUGCAUUGGAAACUGGGAGACUUGAGUGCAGAAGAGGAGAGUGGAACUCCAUGUGUAGCGGUGAAAUGCGUAGAUAUAUGGAAGAACACCAGUGGCGAAAGCGGCUCUCUGGUCUGUAACUGACGCUGAGGUUCGAAAGCGUGGGUAGCAAACAGG